rnacentral:misc_RNA from 1 species
GUAUUGAUUGCGUGUGACCGCAAAAGAAACAUUCUACACUGUAUCGAGUUUUAUGUGAAAACGCAAGCCCUCCCGCAAAGGGGACCCACGCGGUGAUGCACAAAGGUGAGAUGGAUUGUGUGAGAGCACUCGGGCGUGCACGACAAAAAAAAAGUCAGCGACAGCCCUCGCACCUCGGUUGUACGAUAAUGAUCCUUCCGCAGGUUCACCUACGGAAA